rnacentral:rRNA from 1 species
UACGUAGGGUGCAAGCGUUGUCCGGAAUUAUUGGGCGUAAAGAGCUCGUAGGCGGUCUGUCGCGUCUGCUGUGAAAACUCGGGGCUUAACCCCGGGCCUGCAGUGGGUACGGGCAGACUAGAGUGCGGUAGGGGAGACUGGAAUUCCUGGUGUAGCGGUGAAAUGCGCAGAUAUCAGGAGGAGCACCGGUGGCGAAGGCGGGUCUCUGGGCCGUAACUGACGCUGGAGGAGCGAAAGCGUGGGGAGCGAACAGG